ACCAUAAAUUCGGACCACACACAUAAGAGCCAUAAAACUCAGAAAAUCCCCAUUGUGCCGUAGCUGUGCAAGGAAGGAGAAGAAAGAGCCACCCGAAGCUGUGCUUGCCAUUCAAGACAUUGGAUUGUUGGAGCGUUUCUAGGUGUAUUCUAUCCUUGUUUUCAAUGCUUAAAUUUAAUUGUCUUUGUUUAAUUGCGAACAUGAGGAACUAAUUUCGUUUUAGUUAGAGGUGAAUUCAAAGCCAUGAAGAUAUAUGUGAUAUGAAUUGAUUACAUCCAGUUAUGAUUUCAUAAAUCGUGAAUGCAAUUCACCUAUCUGUUUGAUUAAUAACUUAUUCUUGUGUGUUUAUUAAGGGUGCACACUUAGUUUGCAAGCAACGAUUUGAUGCUAGAAUAUAAGGGAAUUCCACCUAAUAGUUACGAACUUAUAUUCACAAGUAGUAAAAGUCACUAGUCAUGAUUGUGUUAAGUGAAUUCUUGGCAGGAGUAUCAUGCAGUUCAUAGUUAUGAAUGCCUUGUCAAUGCUUAUGAUUUUCAUAGAGCUUAAUGAUCUUUGAUGUGUGUCUUUAUCAUGUUGUUCGUGUAGGGAACUUGAUAAGAAUAAUUUGGUUGCGAUGUGAUGUCCAAUUCAAUGAAUUUAGGAAAAUCUGAUGGUUAAUUACUGCUAUGUGGUUAACUUGGGGCAUUGUCAUUCAUGUUUUAUAGGAAGAAUAACUGGAAAUCAAUUUGUAUGCAUAUGUGUCACGUGUGGAGAAUGACCCUCUAGCUAGCCAUUCACCUCUUCAAAACAUCCAAUUUCAUAUUAGCUUUAGUUUGUCUGCAAAUAUUUAGUUUAAGUCUUAAAUUCAUCCACAAACCAACCCCCCCUUUCUAUUUCAUGUUUCUAGGUUAGAAUUUGUCCAAUUAGUGUCUUUUUCAUAGUUUUGUGUGCUAGUUAAUUUCACAUCAUGUUGGUUAUGAAUAAAAUUUCUAACAACUAAACUGUCGUCUCACCUUACCUUUACUUUACAUCUUUUGAUGACAUUGAUCAUUUCGAAAUCCUUAAUAAACAUCUGUUUGGAUGUUUCGACUGUGUUAAGGCAGCAUGAUGGAGAAUCACUUAUAUUUUUCAUUGGAUAAAACCGUUCAAAAUGAACCAUCAUAUAUAUAACCUAGAGUCAACAGUUGUCAUUUCCAUUUGGAAACCAAAUGGUACUUCUCUGUGGAGAAAUAUGUCCAAAAUCUUAUUUAACCUUAGAACUUCCCAAUUUCACUUACUUCUGGAAAGAGCUAAAUUUCUAAUAGCAGCAUUAGAAGAACUAAAUCAACAUCUAUGAUUGCACUAUCGUGGAUCAUUCCAGUUGUGCAAACGUAAUUAUUAAGGACCGUAGUAAGAAUUGUUUCUACCCCUAAACUUUUUCAGUCAUCCUUAUCCCAUUCCAGUUGAAAUUCAUGAGUAUCAAUAUGACAUUACCUCUAGCCUAUCAAGAAAUCGUUUGAAUGGUGAUAAUCACUUUUGUAUCCAAAUGCAAAUGGGAAAUAUCACCAUAAGCUCCUGGUACGAGGUAUCUUGUACAUGUGGAGAUUUUGAUGAUGCUUCAAUGUUUAUAGACCAAUUUGAUGAGUCAACCCAUUUUUCAUUGGUCUAGAGGGACUAUAUUUUAGACCACUUGGUAAAAUUACCCAUUCUUGAAUUUUUUGGAUUUUUGGCAUUUCAAUCAGUAUCUUUUUUUACUAUGACUCCAUAUUCACUCAUUCGUGCUGGAAAGACAUUCUAGUCAACUUUGGGUACGUGUUUACUCUACUGCAGCUCGUAUUAUUUGAAGACAGGUAAACUGUUCAGAAGAAUUGUUCGGAUAUUGGAAUCUAGUUGUGAUCAUUAAUUCUUCAAUCACCCGUCAAAUACUUCGUCGAAUAGAUUGUUACCAUGGGUGAUUGAAUAUUCCAGAAAUUGUUUUUGUAGUGUGAUGGCAGACAAUCAA
rnacentral:lncRNA from 1 species